rnacentral:rRNA from 1 species
GGGGAAUUUUGGACAAUGGGCGCAAGCCUGAUCCAGCCAUACCGCGUGUCUGAAGAAGGCCUUCGGGUUGUAAAGGACUUUUGUCAGGGAAGAAAAGGCUGUCGCUAAUACCGACAGUUGAUGACGGUACCUGAAGAAUAAGCACCGGCUAACUACGUGCCAGCAGCCGCGGUAAUACGUAGGGUGCGAGCGUUAAUCGGAAUUACUGGGCGUAAAGCGAGCGCAGACGGUUACUUAAGCAGGAUGUGAAAUCCCCGGGCUCAACCUGGGAACUGCGUUCUGAACUGGGUGACUAGAGUGUGUCAGAGGGAGGUAGAAUUCCACGUGUAGCAGUGAGAUGCGUAGAGAUGUGGAGGAAUACCGAUGGCGAAGGCAGCCUCCUGGGAUAACACUGACGUUCAUGCUCGAAAGCGUGGGUAGCAAACAGGAUUAGAUACCCUGGUAGUCCAUGCCCUAAACGAUGUCAAUUAGCUGUUGGGCAACUUGAUUGCUUAGUAGCGUAGCUAACGCGUGAAAUUGACCGCCUGGGGAGUACGGUCGCAAGAUUA